rnacentral:rRNA from 1 species
GAUGAACGCUAGCUACAGGCUUAACACAUGCAAGUCGAGGGGCAGCAUGGUCUUAGCUUGCUAAGGCCGAUGGCGACCGGCGCACGGGUGAGUAACACGUAUCCAACCUGCCGUCUACUCUUGGACAGCCUUCUGAAAGGAAGAUUAAUACAAGAUGGCAUCAUGAGUCCGCAUGUUCACAUGAUUAAAGGUAUUCCGGUAGACGAUGGGGAUGCGUUCCAUUAGAUAGUAGGCGGGGUAACGGCCCACCUAGUCGUCGAUGGAUAGGGGUUCUGAGAGGAAGGUCGCUCACAUUGGAACUGGGACACGGUCCAAACGCCUACGGGACGCAGCAGUGAGGAAUAUUAGUCAAUGGGCGAGAGCCUGAACCAGCCAAGUAGCGUGAAGGACGACAGCGCUAUGGGUUGUAAACUUCUUUUAGAAAGGAAUAAAGUCGGGUAUGGAUACCCGUUUGCAUGUACUUUAUGAAUAAGGAUCGGCUAACUCCGUG